GAUUGAGGUUGUUAUGGAGCUUAGUCAGACACACGUUGAGGAGAGGAGCUUUAGAGAAAGAGCGAGGAGGCCCAAAACGUCAGAAAAAAAAAGUACUGAGGAUCUGGCCAGCAUCUGAAGGAGACAGGAAAGAAAGAAAAAGCAGAAGUUGUAUAUCUGAAGGUCGCCAGACUCAGUGGAACGUCAUGGUGGCCCAUAGGGGUUGCUCUGAGGGAAGGAGCUGGGAAUUCUGGGAAAGAGAAAUACAGUAGUUCAUUAACGAAAAAAAUUCUUUAGCCUAUUUCUUUAGCAUGCCUUAAGGUAAGUCCAAGUUCCUAGGAAUGGGCCUUAGCUGGGUGAUUUACCUAGCACAACUGGGAUUUUAUGUCUCUACCCAGGCCAGAGAGUCUAUUCUUUCAACCAGAGUAAGUUUUCUCUUAAUGGGAGUUUACAGCUAUUCUAACAGUCUGUCUGUAGGCAAUAUGCCUUAGUGAAGGAGAGAGGCCUUUGUCUUUGGGAAUGUUGGCACUGAAAUGCUCCUGCAAAAUUACUGAGCCUCUGUAGAGGGACUGUGGAAACCACCAGCUUUGGUUUGUUGCUGGAAACAGAUGAGGUCUGUCACAUACACUUAGAAGUUGUAAUCAAUAGAAUUCCUCAAAGAGUGGGCUCUAUUUGUGGUGGGAAAAUUGCAUGUUGAAUUGGGCAGUGAACUGAACUGGAAGGUGACAGGAACUGGAGUAUUCCAGACUGGUUUACUUUGUCUUUGUAGGAGGGCCAGAGCAGAUUUCCAGGGUCUUUGUUUGCUGGCGGGCAGACAACUCGGAGAGAUUAAAGGGCAAUCAAGAUGAAGUCUGUAAGCACAGGCAUUUGGAUGGGAGUCUUUUGGUCCUAAAAGACACCAGGAUAGUCCCAUGGCUAUGUGAAAAGACUCCAGGAGGCUUUGAGACCGUAUCAUUCCCUCAGUACUUGCCAGAGACCCUGAGCAAUCGCUGAACUGAAAGAACUGUGUGGCAAUUCUUAUCAGUGUGGAGAAAGAUAACAGUGAUUCUAAGCAGAAUUGUUUAAAGAUCAGGAAAAGCUUGAUAGCAAUCUCUGUGUAAAUCCAAAACAAACAAACUCCACCCCUCCCCAAGAUUUGGCAGUGGAGUAAAUGGACUUUCAAGAGAGUUCUCUGCUGACAAUUUCAGCUGUAGCUUGUGUGGCUUUUCUUGAUGUUUGCACAAAUUCUCCUUCUUAAAAACAACUGAUCUGUAGUAGAAACAGGUUUUCUUUGUAUAUUAAAAGAUAGUUUAAAAAUCGCAAAUUGUUUCAUAACAGGAAAACUGUUUCUACGUCCUGAUCCAUUGUUGGUAAUUGGCAAUUCAUCAGUAUCAGUUUUCUUAAAACUGGAAGUCCUUCAAAAAUCCAGCCUAGUAACUCAUUGAGGGUCAUUACAAGAAGACUUACUUGCUUUUAUUUGAUGUGUUUGCUUUUUAUGCUGCAUGUGUGCCUGGUGCCCAAGGAGGCCAGAAGAAGGCAUUGGUUAGCCUGGGACUAAAAGUACAGGCAGCUGGGGCUGCCAUGUGGGUGCUGGGAGACAAAGGCCAGCAUGCUGCAGGAGCAACAAGAGCUCCUAACCACUGAGCCAUCCCUCCAGUCUGUUUCCUUUGAUUCUUACCUGGCUUGCCAAAUUGCUCUUCAUCCUUACGUAUGAUAGUUACAGAACC
rnacentral:lncRNA from 1 species